GGGUGGAUGGUGUAAUUGGUAACAUGCGUGUUGCUCCUUUUCCUCACGCGCUACGUGGUUCGAGUCCCGUUCCGCCCC